CUCUCUCUCUCUCUUCCCUCUUCCUUGCGGUUUCGAGUUCUGCUCGUUCGCUUGAAAAUUUAGCUAAACAAACGAAACGCACUCUUUCAAGUUUUACAUUGCGUGUUUUCUCGUCAACCAAACAGACCUGUUCACUAUAAUUUCCUCGAUACUUUGUUGGUUGUACUUGAUGUUCUCUUUAUCUCAAUGAAUCUCUUUUUGUGCAGCCACAUUUGGCUUGGAUCUGUUAGAUUUUUAUUAAUUAGGGUAGAUGUUCAUAGAAAGAGUUUAGAUUGUGCGAACAGUUUUAGUUUGGUUGAUGUGGGAAUUAAUAUUGCUUAAUUCUAAUUAUGCUUUUCAAUUAAGGCGAACCCUUCUUUGAAAUUUGAUGCGAUGUUAAUUUUGAAAAUCUCUCUCUCACGCAUAAAUAGGUGAUGAUGCUUAAAAUAGUGAAUGAUGUAUGUGACUGUGAUCGGUGAUAAGUCGUGGGAACUGUAAAUAUUAAAUUUUUACUGGCCACAGUCCGAGAUACAUUCAUGACUGCAAUCUGCAUGCAUCGCUAUUAGAAAGUUCUUGUAAAUCAUUUGUAGUUUUGCUCUGUGUGUGUGUGUGUGUGUGUCUGUUAGUUGUAAUCCUUUUGAAAAACGUAAAGUUUAUAUGCAUAUGAAAAUCUUUAUCCAUCUGUUUGCUAGUUUUGAGCUCUGAAAUUUUCGUUAUUCUUCUUUGCACAUUUGCUAGAAAUUUGUGUAUUUCAAGUUGAGUUUUUCUCUUUUCUUUUCUGAUGGAUAAUAUUUGCAGACCCUAGCCUUUCUCGUAUAACAGUUCUAAUCGAGAAAAUGGGUCGUGGAGUAAGCAGUGGUGGAGGACAGAGUUCUUUGGGCUACCUUUUUGGAGAUGGGGAGGCUCCAAAACCCACUAAAAAUAAUGUUGAAGCGCCUCCUAAGAACUUGGAUCCGGUUGCAAGCAGUGGACCAGCUCAGAAGCCCACUCCUGCUGCCUCUCCUGUAGAGGCCACCAAGCAGACUCCCGCUGGUGUCCCAGCGAACACUACAAACAACUACUUCCGAGCUGAUGGCCAGAACUGUGGCAACUUCCUCACUGUAAUGUUUUUAAUUACAAAUAAUUCUUCCGCAAGUUAAACAUGUUUUAACCUGUUUGGAUUGAAGCUGGGAGUCAAAGAAGGGCUUCCAGUAAAAUAUCAUUUUAGAUAAUAUUGAAAAAAUUCUUUGAAAAUGUUUAAUCUUUUUGGAGUUUUAGACAAACAGCAAAUUUAAUUUUUAAACCAACUUUUGACAGCCUUCAAGGAGUUGCUUUUCUCAACUAUAGUUCCAACAGGAUGCCACCAAGCCAUCUGUAAUUGAUAAAGAUAAAAUAUUAUCGUAUAGCCAGUGAAGCUCACUAGAUAUUAGACUUUGAAGCAAUACCUUAUCUUGCUUUUGUGGUAGGCUGGAUUUAAUCUCUUUAAGGAAACUGAACAUAGUUGAUCAUGUGCAUGUAGAUUGCCAUUGAAUUUUAUCAAAUCUUGACAUUCUCAUUCUUCUUGUCAGAUGUAAAUUUUCAUUUCAUAAGACAUCCUAUAUAUAAAAUGUUUAGGGAUAGGAUGCACUAGAAUUAGCUGUCAAGCAACUUGUUUGAACUGCAAAUCUUUAUCUGAGCAUUAUCCUCUACAAACUACAUACAGGUGGCUUCCUGGUGUUAAAGGAUGUUGCUAAUAUGCAGUGUAGCCAUCCAUAUACAUACAUAAACUUCACUUGAUUAACACUGUGAAUGAUAUUUGCCAGCAAUUGAUUCUAGAGAGCUGUGUUCUUAACUGCUACUUCACCAACUGCCUCCUGGACAAACCAAAUUCUGGAUUAGUGCUUACAUGUUAGAAAUUCCGAGUAUAGAAUGUGAUUUUUUUGGCUAAAUACCAAGAAUGUAAGCCUGUCACUCUUUCAACAUUUUGCAUAAGUAGGUGGCUUUCUUUGUUUAAUAGCUGCUGCCAAGUGAUUGUUUUCCUGGAGUUGUUCUCGAGUGUUUGAGAUUGAUCUCGUGAACUGGAUACCUGCCAUUAAGGUGGGUGUAAAUCUUUUUUGUGUGUUUCGGCAUGUUCAAGAGGGUUGGGGACUGAAGAGGAAGGAUGGAGAGUAGAGCCUUUCGCAGCAUCUCAAUGUGGAGAGAUGUUACCAUAGCAAAUGAGAACUUAUUGCUGUGCCCAUAGUUCAUUAUGGGUAAAUUAGUAUAUCCAAAGAUUGGAAAUGAGAUACUUGUGCUUGGCAAUCAACAUGACCCAUCAAACACAUCUAUUAUAACCAAACACCUGGCUCCCUGAUCUAUUUGUCAUAAGAUAUUAGCAAAGUAUAUAUUUUUGUUUCCAUAAAAAAGUAGAACAUCUGGUAUCUUUUUGUUGUGGUACAUAUUGUUGACUUGUUAGUUUCUUGCAUCAGCAUAAUAUCAUCCCUACAAGUGGAUGAAGAUGCAUAAAAAAAUUUCAGAUGAUUUCAAUUUGUUUGAAUUGGAAUAAUUUUGAUAGAUAUUCUUCAAUGGCUGAUUUUAUGGAAACACUGUUUGUAUAGGAUCGGCGUACAACUAAGGUGCAUGCAGCUCCUGGCGGUGGGUCUUCACUGGACUACCUGUUUGGUGGUGACAAGAAAUGAGAUAUCAUGGAACAGGGGUUGGAGCGCUAUCGCUUAUUAUUUUGCUAUGGUGAUGUUUGAAUUUCAGG
rnacentral:lncRNA from 1 species